GACGAACGCUGGCGGCGUGCUUAACACAUGCAAGUCGAACGGAAAGGCCCUGCUUUUGUGGGGUGCUCGAGUGGCGAACGGGUGAGUAACACGUGAGUAACCUGCCCUUGACUUUGGGAUAACUUCAGGAAACUGGGGCUAAUACCGGAUAGGAGCUCCUGCUGCAUGGUGGGGGUUGGAAAGUUUCGGCGGUUGGGGAUGGACUCGCGGCUUAUCAGCUUGUUGGUGGGGUAGUGGCUUACCAAGGCUUUGACGGGUAGCCGGCCUGAGAGGGUGACCGGCCAGAUUGGGACUGAGAUACGGCCCAGACUCCGACGGGAGGCAGCAGUGGGGAAUAUUGCACAAUGGGCGGAAGCCUGAUGCAGCAACGCCGCGUGCGGGAUGACGGCCUUCGGGUUGUAAACCGCUUUCGCCUGUGACGAAGCGUGAGUGACGGUAAUGGGUAAAGAAGCACCGGCUAACUACGUG
rnacentral:rRNA from 1 species